rnacentral:rRNA from 1 species
AUGAACGCUAGCGACAGGCCUAACACAUGCAAGUCGAGGGCAGCACAAGGAGCAAUCUGAGGUGGCGACCGGCGCACGGGUGAGUAACACGUAUGCAACCUGCCUGUAAGCGGGGAAUAACCCGUUGAAAGACGGACUAAUACCGCAUAAUACUAAAUUACUGCAUGGUAAUUUAUUUAAACAUUUAUGGCUUACAGAUGGGCAUGCGCAUGAUUAGCUAGUUGGAGAGGUAACGGCUCCCCAAGGCAACGAUCAUUAGGGGUUCUGAGAGGAAGGUCCCCCACACUGGUACUGAGACACGGACCAGACUCCUACGGGAGGCAGCAGUGAGGAAUAUUGGUCAAUGGACGAGAGUCUGGACCAGCCAAGUCGCGUGCAGGAAGAAUGUCCUAUUGGAUUGUAAACUGCUUUUGCAGGGGAAUAAAGUGCAUCACGUGUGAUGUUUUGUAUGUACUCUGCGAAUAAGGAUCGGCUAACUCCGUGCCAGCAGCAGC